rnacentral:rRNA from 1 species
UACAGAGGAUGCAAGCGUUAUCCGGAAUGAUUGGGCGUAAAGCGUCUGUAGGUGGCUUUUUAAGUCCGCCGUCAAAUCCCAGGGCUCAACUCUGGACAGGCGGUGGAAACUACCAAGCUGGAGUACGGUAGGGGCAGAGGGAAUUCCCGGUGUAGCGGUGAAAUGCGCAGAUAUCGGGAGGAACACCGGUGGCGAAGGCGGUUCUCUGGGCCUUACCUGACGCUGAGGAGCGAAAGCGUGGGGAGCGAACAGG